GCCCGAAGCAGCCGAACAGAGCAGGCGCCUUCUAAGCGCUUGGCCGCAGGUUCGAGUCCUGCCGGGGGCG
rnacentral:tRNA from 1 species